ACGGGUGAGUAACACGUAUGCAAUCCACCUGUAACAGGGGGAUAAUCCGGAGAAAUCCGGACUAAUACCCCAUAAUAUGGGCGCUCCGCAUGGAGAGCCCAUUAAAGAGAGCAAUUUUGGUUACAGACGAGCAUGCGCUCCAUUAGCCAGUUGGCGGGGUAACGGCCCACCAAAGCGACGAUGGAUAGGGGUUCUGAGAGGAAGGUCCCCCACAUUGGAACUGAGACACGGUCCAA
rnacentral:rRNA from 1 species